AUAUGAAUUACUUGGGAUCUUGUUAAAAAGCAGAUUCUAACUUAACACAUCUGGGGAAUGGUCCCAGAGUCUCUAUUUCUAGUAAGCGCCCAGGUGACUGGGGU
rnacentral:miRNA from 1 species